GACCUAUCCCCCGAUGCUCGUCAUAUCCAUUGCCCUACUCUUCGCAUCUCAUCACUUCGUCCAAUACCAUAGGGAUGAGAUCGUUCAGUACGGCAAUGGACUGAGCUAGAGUGACCUCUGAUAAUAC
rnacentral:pre_miRNA from 15 species